rfam:Colinus virginianus strain Texas jcf7180006226679, whole genome shotgun sequence.
CCUUCGAUAGCUCAGCUGGUAGAGCGGAGGACUGUAGAGGUGUUGUCCCUGCGGGAAUCCUUAGGUCGCUGGUUCGAUUCCGGCUCGAAGGA